rnacentral:lncRNA from 1 species
CCAAGCUCUCUGAAAGGGGUCUGUGAGGUGUUGGCCCUCCUGCUCGGCCAGCAUGAUCUUUCAAGCAUCAGGAUGCCCCGUCAACUUUGAAAGAUGGAACACCCAGAAAUAACAAUCAUUAAAAGGAGAAGAAAGGAAUGAUGGAAGAAAAAUUAUCAACAAUGGUGACAACAUCCUGGAUACUCCUGAGAAGAGAAACUGCCAAGUACAGAGACAUCGAAAAGGAUUUCCCACAGGAACAUUUGGAAGAAUUUUAGUACAAGUGCCCAGGCAGAAAGACACACUUACUUAUACUCACACUCAUACACGCACACUUGCACUCUCUCUCACACACACACACACAUCUACUCACACAUUCACUUAUGCACACAAUACUAAUUCACACAUAUUAGCACACUUACAGGUACAUAUACAUAUUCAGACAUGUACACAAUCAUAUUCACAUAGGCACACACACAUAGGAACACACCUAGAAUCAUUGAUACAUACGUAUAAGCACACACUCUGAGAAAUACACACUCUCACUUACACAUACAGCAACACACACUCACACACAUACACUCAUGCAUUCAUUCUCCCAAAUGCAUACACUUAAAUAUACACAUAAACUGAAACACACAAUGACCCAUACAUGUUCUCCAUGUCUUAAAAUGAUAAUUGUUCUACUGUGUAUAAUAUCAAGCAGACUGUGAGCAGAAUUUUAGGCCGUGCUAAUUACUAGCAUAAAGGAAAGAUUCUGAGAGAAGAGAAUGUGUGUUCAGUAGAUUCUUGAUCUGUGACACAGAGGAGGAGAUGAUCAGUCAUUUUUAUCCGAAACCCAGCUAAUGUUUCCCCGCCGUUUUUUCAUGGAGGUGUUACCUGAAGAAGGCUACAGCUAUCCACAGACUUCAACGCAGACAAAGGUGUCACAGCUGAAGAAGGUACCAUACAGGGAGGAAGAACCACAUGAGGAAACAGGAGCCCUAUAAGCUUACACUUGUGUUUUAUUCCUUGUUGCUUAUGCUCGAGACAAAAUACCUACCAGAAGUCAUCUCCAAAGAAGAAGGUGGGUGUAUGAGUGAAGCAGAGUGCCAUCAGUGAGCCCUGCGUCCUCUCCAGGAAACAGAAAUUAGCAUAAGGCCAUCUAAUAUGGAAAUUAAUAUCCCACGAUCUCUUACUCUGUGUACCUCAAGAACUGCAUAGACACAUGCAGCGUUAUUUUCUUUUUUAUUGAGGCAACUAAUAUUAAAAUAAAAAUAGAAUUAAUAAUUUAUUAGCCA